UGCUGACUAGAGGAAAUAUGGCAGUACUGAGAAUCCUAGCACUGGCCAUGAUUCUCUUUAUGGUCAGUCAGAACUUCUACCCACAUGACAGAGUACUGGAGUCUCAGGCUUGGAAGAAGGUGGUCUACAUCGGAGGAGUUGCCAUGGUGUUUUGCUCCUCCUUCCCUCCAGCAUGCGUUUAUUACUUGUUAUGGUCCGUUUCCUACAUACUGUUUCCAACAACCCUGUGGAGCAGCAAAGUGUAAAGGGGUAAAGGCCUAUGAGGCUCACACGUCACAGUAUCCCCUUCUCCUUCCUGCAAAGGGAAAUCAAACCAAUUUAGAAACUUGGAAAACUAUUUUUAAAUCAUUUUUGUUUUGAGGUGAACUUCAUGAAAUCAACAUGAUCUAAGGAGGCUUACGGCCAUCUUGAUUGCUGCUGUUGUUUCAUCGCUACGGAUGAGAAAUGCUCUUUACCUCUGCUUCACACGUAUUUUCAUGUUUGAAUGGCAUGUUGACAGAUAUAUUAGGUGGUCUCGGAUACAGUAAGUGUGGUGUUUGUUGCACAGUUCUGCCUAAAUGAAUCAAAUCUGAAAAGGCAAGAAGCAAACUUGAGAUUGUCAAAUUUGCUGUGGAAUUUAUACUUGUAGAGUUACUGCUUUCUGGUUGUUUAAGAGACCGAAAGAUCCGAAACAACUCAGCUCUCAAUCAUAAUCAAAAUGUCUGCUUAAUUAUUUUAAAAAAAAUGUCCAUAAGGGAAUUUUAUACAUAUGAUCUGUGUAAUUUCAUGUAAAAACACUACAGUAUGAUUAAGAUAGUGGCUAUCAUCAUAUACUGUAAUGUAUCUAUUGC